GGCUAGGGGGUGUAAUCCUUUUUUUGCCACUCCUACAUAACCACUAUAACUGCCUUUAACUACCUUUUAUUGGCUUCGUAUUUCCACUUUGACAAUUAUUUAUCCAAGAAUGUCUUUUGUACUGCACUGAAUCAUUUGGCACCACUUUCAUCCACAAAAACUUGGUCUACGCCAUAUUAGGUCCUUCAUACUUGAUGAAGGACCUAAUAUGUUUUAUUAGGCCGCAUGCUAUUUCAUACUUGAUGACCAAAGCACUUCCAUCUGUUGUUCUGUUUUGUGCCGGUGUUUUAUUUGCUCUGGCUUCCUCAUUUUGGUCUCCAUAUUUAGUAGUUCUUGUACACAUUUAUCUUAGCUGUAUUCCAGAAGACCAGUAAACAACAUGUCUGGAUAGCUAACCGUUACUUUGGUUUAAUGCACAUUCAAUGAAAAAAUUAAGAGCAGAGAAGAAUUUGAACAUGGUUUAUAUCAAAAAAAUGCCAAAGGUGCACAUUUGGUUGAUGAAGAGGUGGUGCUCAUUCUAUCAAGGACUUAACUAUUGCGUGCUGUUCCUGUGCUAUAUAAGUGGCAGCAUGAUAUGGUACUGUAUUGUGCCUGUCACAUUCUAGGGGACCUGUUUCAGAAAAUAUGGUUUAGCAUUGAGUCUUUCUAGUAGGCAUGAAUGGAUGCAAUUUGGCUUGCAUGAUACAGUGGUACAAGCCAUUAUACUAUGGCUAUAUCUGAUUGGUCAGGUGCUUGAAUAUGUUUCCCUAUUUUUUUCUAAUCAAUCCUUUCGUUGCUAAAAUCCAAGUGGAUGGUGCCAAUUAUUUGCAAAUAAUUUGUUGUUGAUGAGACUAGGGAAUGUGUGAAAGUUAUUGUGAUGUAUCUGCAGAAAUCCUUGAGGACAAGUUUGAAAAAUUAUCUUAUCAAAACAUGAGGUGUAUCUUUAUGGGGAAUAUUGAUUUUAAAAAACAGGGUUUUGCUGCCCAAAUUGAUAUAAAGAAAAAAAGCCCCAGCUAUUUAGAUGUUCCUUGUCAAAAAUUAUAUAAUUUUGGUGAUAAUUAUUUGAUCCUCUAGAAAAUGGAGUCCCAAUCUCAUAUGUCUUCUUUACUUUGACAUUUAUCUAUGUACAUGUAAUUUAACUAGAUAAAAAUAGAAAUUAAAUCAUGAAGAUUGCAUUGUUGUAUUUUGGCGAUUAGUCUUCUAAGGAUAAGAUCAUGGUGAUUUUGGUGUAGAAUUCUAAAUCAUGCUUAUGAAGCAUUAAAGCUAGAGGCUUUUAGAAAGAUGGAUUUAGGAGUGUAUGCAACCUGUACUUUGUUAGUUAGGUGUUUCAACAGUUCUGUUUAUGAUUGGGAGGAAGCAUGCUGUGCAAAGCUCCCUCUUGCCACCAUCUUUGCGGAGCUAUACGUUUUUUUCCCCCCUAGAAAAUGUUGAGGUUGUUGGGCAUCUUGUUCAUCAAAGGUGGUUUCAGUUGGUUUCAAAUUCCAAAGCAUUUUGUGCAGUUGAUUAUUUGGAACUACUGAGCAGAACUAUUCGAUGGAGGAAGCGUUCCAGAAUUUGGAUACAUCAUCUCGAUGGGUUUGCCUACUUUCCAGUCUUUUGUAGGCUUCCUUUCUUAUAUAAAAGUUCAUCUGAUUGUUGACUGAGGCAUUUCUUAAGUAAUUACCCUCCUUAUUGUCAAUGACUUUUUUGGUCUAUUUUCCAUAGACCCAUUGCACUUGCUCAAGAAGAAUUUUUUAGAUUGCAUAUUUUGAGCCAUUUCUCAGAUGCUAAUUUCACAUUGGACCUGUGUCUUCUUUUUCCUCCCUCCUCCACUCACCUUAAUGGUAAUCUUACUCUGUGACCUGUGUCUUCUUUCUUUUCCUUCUCCUCCCCUCCUCCUUCACCCACCUUAAUGGUAAUCUUAGACUCUCCUUUUGCUCAAGCUUGAACUCUGCACACUUCUGGGGGGAGUGUUUUGUUGUGUAUCUUGGAAUUGGAUAUCUUACUACUAUCUGUAGUUUAUGUCAGGUUGGUGCAUUUCCUAUAUUUGUGUUAGAAUUCUGUCUUCUAUUUAUUUGUGUCAUUUCCUAAGUUGAUUUUUUUUAUAAAGCCAACAUUCAUCCAAAAGUUGAAAUGUUUUUCUGGGCUGAACCCUUGUAGUGCCAUGGGCCCCAAUAGAAAAUGAACUAUGAAGUAUGUCACUUCUGAUUUUAAGAAGCAGGCUUUUGGUGGAUGUGGAUGUAUUUUUGAUUCCCUUUUUCUGGAGGGUUUGUGGGGUUAUGUGGGCACAUACAGUCAUAUUUGCAUACACAAUCACGUGUGCUUGCGCAUGGAACUAAUAUGGCCUCUAUGUAAUAAAGAUGACUAGAAAAGCUUGAUGUUGUCCCAGGAGGAUGAAACUUGAGAACUUUUUCUAUAUUAGGGUGGUUGCAUGCAACUGUAGAAGAAUGGAGAUAAGUAAAUCAAGUUAGAUAUGUAUGGUUAUGUAUUUAACAAAAUUUGGUUGAAGAUCCUUGUUAGUAGAAUGCAGACUAUUGUUAUAGAAAGUUUAGUUUGUCAAAUGUGAUCUCAGAAAUCAUAGAAAUUUUGCCGAAUUAGUUUAGCUAGAAGCUACUUAGUAUUUUGUUGUCGAACAUGCUUGAUAAGGAUGCCUGUUUGGUGGAAAGGGGAUCAUUUUCACUGUCAAAUCUGUCCAAGUCAAAUUGCCAGAUCCUGCUGGCUGUUGAAACACAAUGUUGCAAGACUGCCUGAACUUUUACCAAGUGAUAUUUGGAGGAGAUUGGUGUAAAUUACAAGGAAAUCUGAGUGUAUUUUUUAUCUGGAUGACUAUUUAGUUGAUAGUGCUUGACAGUCUGCAAAUAUCUUGCUUGCUGGUUAAGUCUAGUUUGUUCAAAUAUUACGAUAUAAAUUCAAAGACAGGCAUGUGAUAUAUCACUGCGAGCAGUUUUGAUUAUGU
rnacentral:lncRNA from 1 species